rnacentral:lncRNA from 1 species
GAGAAGACAGACUACAAACAGCUCAUUUCAACUUAUGUAAUAAUGAGAUGCUUGUCAAGGAUUUGUGUGACAGCAGAGAUGAACUCAAUUUGACCCAGAGGUAUGGGCUGCUGGAACAAGAUGCUCCCAGAAUCUCCACUUGGAGGAAUAAGCAAGUUCUGUACAGAUUUGCCUUGGUUCCAGAGACUCGAAAGUCUAAGAAUGAGCAGCUAUAUCUGAGAAAGACUUCUUAUUGGAAGAGUGAAAAAGGCAGGGGAGGGGAGGGAGGGAGAGAGACUCACUUUUGUAACAAGCUGAUUGCCAACAUAAUUAAUCCACUCCUAUGGUAAGAAGAUUGAUCUAUUCAUGAGGGAUCUGCACAAAUUAUGCACUAAUCAUUUUUUAAGGGUCCCAUCUGUUAAUCUUGUCACCAUGGCAAUUAAAUCUCAACAUAAAUUUUGGAGAAGAAAAAUAUUCAAACUAGAGCAAAAGUGAUUUUGAUUAAAUUGGGUGGCCAUAUUUCAAUAACCAUAAGACUUUAUUAAGGACUGGAAAUGGUAAGCCAAAAAAAUGGGACAAUGGACACAUAUAUGUCUGAUGAAGAAUGAGUAUAAGUAAAAAGAAGAGAAAUUCCUAAUGGAAUUUCCUUAUGACAGUGAUAGCAUCUUGAAAUCUUAACUUUUCAAUAAAGAGACUAGCACUUGAGCCAGAAAAGUUUUUAUGAAUAUUCCCACAGCAGAAUUUUCAGUAUGAAUGGUCAAUCCCACGGAACAAAUACAUUGUCUUUACCCCUAAAUAACAC